rnacentral:rRNA from 1 species
GAUGAACGCUGGCGGCGUGCCUAAUACAUGCAAGUCGAGCGAAUGGAUUAAGAGCUUGCUCUUAUGAAGUUAGCGGCGGACGGGUGAGUAACACGUGGGUAACCUGCCCAUAAGACUGGGAUAACUCCGGGAAACCGGGGCUAAUACCGGAUAACAUUUUGAACCGCAUGGUUCGAAAUUGAAAGGCGGCUUCGGCUGUCACUUAUGGAUGGACCUGCGUCGCAUUAGCUAGUUGGUGAGGUAACGGCUCACCAAGGCAACGAUGCGUAGCCGACCUGAGAGGGUGAUCGUCCACACUGGGACUGAGACACGGCCCAGACUCCUACGGGAGGCAGCAGUAGGGAAUCUUCCGCAAUGGACGAAAGUCUGACGGAGCAACGCCGCGUGAGUGAUGAAGGCUUUCGGGUCGUAAAACUCUGUUGUUAGGGAAGAACAAGUGCUAGUUGAAUAAGCUGGCACCUUGACGGUACCUAACCAGGAAGCCACGGCUAACUACGUGCCAGCCGCCGCCGUAA